rnacentral:sRNA from 1 species
UUUUAUAAAAAUCAAAUUUGCAAGUUUAAAUAUAUAUUUCCUUUAAAAAAUAAAUCGUCCCGCGGUAUACCGCGGGUUAAAAUCUAGUCUAUACUAUUAAUUGGGAAUCAUUGAAAAUAAACAACCUUAUGAAGGGUAAAAUAUUACAUAGAAUGCCAUUGAUUGUUAUUGUUUUUAAAUA